AUUGAACGCUAGCGGGAUGCCUUACACAUGCAAGUCGAACGGAGUGGCGAACGGGUGAGUAAUGUAUAGGAACGUGCCCAGUAGCGGGGGAUAACUACGCGAAAGCGUAGCUAAUACCGCAUACUAUUGGAGCGGCCGAUAUCGGAUUAGCUAGUUGGUGGGGUAACGGCCUACCAAGGCGACGAUCCGUAGCUGGUUUGAGAGGACGACCAGCCACACUGGGACUGAGACACGGCCCAGACUCCUACGGGAGGCAGCAGUGGGGAAUUUUGGACAAUGGGCGAAACCCUGAGCCAGCCAGCCCGCGUGUGCGAUGAAGGCCGUCGGGUUGUAAAGCACUUUUGGCUGGUAAGCGGUACCUGCAGAAUAAGCACCGGCUAACUACGUGCCAGCAGCCGCGGUAAUUC
rnacentral:rRNA from 1 species